rnacentral:lncRNA from 10 species
GGCCCUGUUCAGAUUUGGUGGCUACCUCAAAGUGCAGUUCUUUGAAAACUAAACUGUUAUGUUAAGCCAUUGACAAUUUAGGAUUAUUAUUUAUUUAUUUAUUUUACCAUGGAAUGACAAACUCUCCUGACUAGAAAAGGUGGGAUAAGUACAUUUCCUCCCAACCCAAAAUAGUAAAUAGUGCCACCAUGAACCUAAUUGUGUUAAACUGAGUGACUGAGACCCAUGAAAACUGCCAUAGCCUGACCUGCACCCCAGCACGAUGAAUCAAGAAGAAUCUCUCUUUCCUCUUCCGUUUUCUGUCUUCCUUUCCCCAUGUCCCAUCAAGUCUGUUCUAGUUACUGGCUGGUGGGUCUGUACUAUACAAUGUACUGGGUUCCAUCACUAUUGCUGUAGGAGUUGAUUUAUUUGGAUUUUCAAAGUUCCAUGGGCAUGGGACUGUUAAUAUGACAUUUUCAUAUAGCCUACUGAAUCUUUAAAAAACUGGGAGAUGCAAGAAAUUUUGGGUUGGGUCAAUGUGCUUAAGGAAUGACUCCCAUUCUUAUGACAGCCUAGGCAGCAGCUUCCUGAGGAAACCCAAACAUCUGAUUGAGAUCCUUUUAACUAAAACAGGGCAGGUCAAGAAAUUAGGGGGAGCAGAAUUUUGGAUUUAAAUUAUGUUGGCUUUUCAUUAGGUGAUUUCAUACUUGGGCUUUUAUUUCUCCCUGGGAGUUGAAUCACUGGAGAAGGUUUUGUUAAUAUAUGGAAAUUUUUAUAUUAUUGACACUUUCUAUUUGGAGUAUUUUAGGCUAUUAUUUGGGCUCAUUGCAGAACAGUGUCUUUCAAACUUUUUUCUUAAAUUAGGACAUGCAUUAUACAUCAUG